CCUAAAAAGAAAAGGCGACGACGUAUUUGGACAAAGAUAUGGCUGAGGAAACGUGACAUCUAUGGUCUGUCUGUUUUACAGAAAGAACUUGAGGUAGAUGAUGUGAAGGGAUUUCGGGAGCUUCUGCGGAUGUCGGUUGAAGACUUUUCUUAUCUCCUGGAGAGGGUGACACCACACAUAAUAAAGAAAGACACACACCUAAGAAAAGCCAUCAGCCCCAGGGACAGGCUCUCUGUGACCUUACGCUUUCUGGCAACAGGCGAGACCUUCAAGUCAUUAGGUUUUCAUUACAGGAUUGGAAGCACAACACUGAGUUGGAUAGUGAUGGAAACGUGCACAGCCC